AGUUGACCAGUGGAAAGGAGACAGAUCAUGGCCCACCUAGGGCUCUGAAGAGUCGAGCUGCAAGAUUGAUCCCGGAGUGUGCCAAAGAGGGUCGCCGAUGUUGGGUGAUGCCGAGGUGGAGGAGAGUCUUGCAAGGACCACGGAUUUCUCGGCCACCGAGGCCUUGGUCCUGCUUGGAGAACGAAAAGGUGCGAAGUCUGGGUUCCCUAGGACAAAGAAACUCCUGUUCCGGGCAGCCUGAGGAAUUUAGUCCUGAAUGCAGAGUAAAUAAAUAUUUCUUACCACCUCUU